rnacentral:tRNA from 1 species
AGGGCUUUAAGUUAUAUAAACUACAAGCCUUCAAAGCUUAUAAAAAGGCUUCACCUUAAGCCCUG